rnacentral:tRNA from 1 species
GGAAGCGUGGCUGAGUGGUCGAAAGCAACGGUCUUGAAAACCGUCGUGCCUUCACAGGUACCAGAGGUUCGAAUCCUCUCGCUUCCGCAA